rnacentral:rRNA from 1 species
GCUAUGUUGGCCGGGCGACGGUUGUCCCGGUUUAAGCGUGUAGGUGUGUGUUCCAGGUAAAUCCGGUUCACUUUAACACUGAGGCGUGAUGACGAGGCACCACGGUGCUGAAGCAACAAAUGCCCUGCUUCCAGGAAAAGCCUCUAAGCCUCAGGUAACAUCAAAUCGUACCCCAAACCGACACAGGUGGUCAGGUAGAGAAUACCAAGGCGCUUGAGAGAACUCGGGUGAAGGAACUAGGCAAAAUGGUGCCGUAACUUCGGGAGAAGGCACGCUGACACGUAGGUGAAGUGGUUUACCCAUGGAGCUGAAGUCAGUCGAAGAUACCAGCUGGCUGCAACUGUUUAUUAAAAACACAGCACUGUGCAAACACGAAAGUGGACGUAUACGGUGUGACGCCUGCCCGGUGCCGGAAGGUUAAUUGAUGGGGUCAGCGCAAGCGAAGCUCCUGAUCGAAGCCCCGGUAAACGGCGGCCGUAACUAUAACGGUCCUAAGGUAGCGAAAUUCCUUGUCGGGUAAGUUCCGACCUGCACGAAUGGCGUAAUGAUGGCCAGGCUGUCUCCACCCGGGACUCAGUGAAAUUGAACUCGCUGUGAAGAUGCAGUGUACCCGCGGCAAGACGGAAAGACCCCGUGAACCUUUACUAUAGCUUGACACUGAACACUGGUCCUUGAUGUGCAGGAUAGGUGGGAGGCUUUGAAGUGUGGACGCCAGUCUGCAUGGAGCCAUCCUUGAAAUACCACCCUUUAAUGGCUGGUGUUCUAACGUGGGCCCGUGAACCGGGUUGCGGACAGUGUCUGGUGGGUAGUUUGACUGGGGCGGUCUCCUCCUAAAGAGUAACGGAGGAGCACGAAGGUUGGCUAAUCCUGGUCGGACAUCAGGAGGUUAGUGCAAUGGCAUAAGCCAGCUUGACUGCGAGCGUGACGGCGCGAGCAGGUGCGAAAGCAGGUCAUAGUGAUCCGGUGGUUCUGAAUGGAAGGGCCAUCGCUCAACGGAUAAAAGGUACUCCGGGGAUAACAGGCUGAUACCGCCCAAGAGUUCAUAUCGACGGCGGUGUUUGGCACCUCGAUGUCGGCUCAUCACAUCCUGGGGCUGAAGUAGGUCCCAAGGGUAUGGCUGUUCGCCAUUUAAAGUGGUACGCGAGCUGGGUUUAGAACGUCGUGAGACAGUUCGGUCCCUAUCUGCCGUGGGCGCUGGAAGAUUGAGGGGGGCUGCUCCUAGUACGAGAGGACCGGAGUGGACGCAUCACUGGUGUU